GCCUGGGCAAGAGAGCAAGACUCUAUCUCAAAUUAAAAAUAAAUAAAUAAAUAAGUAAUAAAAAAUUAAAAAAGCAGGUGACAUUAGGCUAUGAACAAAACACUCAGUGCACACCCCACUUGAAUCUCUUCCAGAAACCUGCAGCCUCCCAAAAAACAGUCUCAUUGGAACACAUCGGAAGACCUGGGAAAUAAAAAAAAGGGUUGAAUGAGGUCUACUUACCCAACUGCUGCAGGAAAAGUAGCAGAUGAUCCUCCGUCUGCACCAAAGCCCGGUAGCCCACUGAGUCAUCCUUCUUCAAGAACACCUGGAUAUACAGCUAUAAGCCACAGUCAAGACCAGUGUAGUCAGUGAGGAUCCAAAUGCCUCUGAGAGCACCAGACCCCAGGAUCCAAAUGCCUCUGAGAGCACCAGACCCCAGGAUCCAAAUGCCUCUGAGAGCACCAGACCCCAGGAGUCAAAGCCUGGACUUUACAGAGGAAAUGCCUCAGGCCAGAAGAAGCGGUGGCAGCCUCCCACCUGCAGUGCGAUCUGUCUCAACUCCCAUUCCGUCUCCAGAGCCAAAGUUUGGAGGGAACGUGAGCUCGGGUCAGGACACACCAGGACAGCCUCAUCCACCACACCACAGGCUCCGGACAGGUGCUGCAGCCAUGGAGUUGAAACCCUAACCUACAGAAAUGUCAUCGUUAACAGGAAGCUCGUGAAAGAUUUUUACAUUUCCCUCUCAGCCCAACAGCAAUAUUGCUGCCAGCAUCCCACUGGGGGGUCCUAAGCUCAAAGGUUCUUCAUGGUUGGUUGUAUAGGAGUUCUUCCUGUCCCCUGAAACCCCACCUUCCAACCUCCUGAGAGCCUUCAAAGCUGGAAAAAAUAUCAGGAUUUUCUUUCUGGUCACUGGAAAAAUAUACCCGAUAAUUUUAAAUACCUGA